rnacentral:rRNA from 1 species
ACCAGACUCCUACGGGAGGCAGCAGUGGGGAAUAUUGGGCAAUGGGCGCAAGCCUGACCCAGCAACGCCGCGUGAAGGAAGAAGGCUUUCGGGUUGUAAACUUCUUUUAUGAGGGACGAAAGAAAUGACGGUACCUCAUGAAUAAGCCACGGCUAACUACGUGCCAGCAGCCGCGGUAAUACGUAGGUGGCAAGCGUUAUCCGGAUUUACUGGGCGUAAAGGGCGCGUAGGCGGGAACUUAAGUUAGAUGUGAAAACUCCGGGCUCAACCUGGAGACUGCAUUUAAAACUGGGUUUCUUGAGGGCAGGAGAGGAAAGUGGAAUUCCUAGUGUAGCGGUGAAAUGCGUAGAUAUUAGGAGGAACACCAGUGGCGAAGGCGACUUUCUGGACUGUACCUGACGCUGAGGCGCGAAAGCAUGGGGAGCGAACAGGAUUAGAUACCCCCGUA